rnacentral:rRNA from 1 species
GAUGAACGCUGGCGGCGUGCCUAAUACAUGCAAGUCGAGCGAGCGGCGGACGUGUGAGUAAUGUCUGGGAAACUGCGUGAUGGAGGGGGAUAACUACUGGACACGGUAGCUAAUACCGCAUACCAUCAGAUGUGCCCAGGUGGGAUUGGCUAGUGGGUGGGGUAACGGCUCACCAAGGCGACGAUCCGUAGCUGGUCUGAGAGGAUGACCAGCAACACUGGAACUGAGACACGGUCCAGACUCCUACGGGAGGCAGCAGUGGGGAAUAUUGCACAAUGGGCGCAAGCCUGAUGCAGCCAUGCCGCGUGUAUGAAGAAGGCCUUCGGGUUGUAAAGUACUUUCAGCGGGGAGGCGUUACCCGCAGAAGAAGCACCGGCUAACUCCGUGCCAGCAGCCGCGGUAAUUC